UUCUGUUUUCAUGUUGUGGUUAUGUUAGUUGAGUUGUUUGGGAGAAAACGGGUUUUUCGUGUGAAAUGUCGAUGUUUAAGCGUUUUCGCCAAUAAGUGAUUAUGUGAGGUUUUGGAAAAUGACUUUUGGGAUGGUUGAAACAUGAAAUUUUUGUAGAUUAUGAUAGUGCCAAGUGUUAGGAGCAUGUAGGCGAAAACGGCAUCGAAAACGGAUUAACGGUUUGAUUUUUAUGCGCGAAAACGUAGAAGUUGAAUUUUGCAUAGUCUGCUACUGUCAAAAUCAUGAAGCGAUCUUACAAAUCGUGAGGUGAUUUUGACAGAAACAACAAAUUUUCUGCAUAGCCUGGUGUUGUCGAAUCAUGAAGCGAUUUCGCAAAUCAUGAGGCGAUUUUGACAGCAACAUCAAAUUUUUCUACUCAGUCUGAUGCUGUCAAAAUCAUGAAGCGAUCUUACGAGUCAUGAAGCGAUUUUGGCAGCCUAGAAACCUUAAAAAUGCAAUUUUCUUUGAUCCAAUUACUUCCAAACUUCUUCCUAAGUGUAGGGACUUUAUCCUAAUCAUCUAGGGGUGUUUUUAUGAGAGAUUUAACCUUGUGAGAAAGGGGUCUCGUGGAUUCUUAUGUUGUUUUGUCUUGGAACUUCUCAUACGAACUUAAGCUAUCCUUUGAACUAAAUUCUAAUAGUUUGUAAGUGGCUUGAGUCCUUGACUACAUGAUUGAUUAAGAUUGAAUUGUAGGAUUUCAAACUUAAAUAAGUUGCCUAACUUUGAAAAUUAUCAAUGUUGGCCGUUUGCCACAUGAUUUGGAUUUUUGUCGGAAAUGUUUCUUUAACAAAUUGUCUUGUGAGUUAUUGAGAUUAUUCUUAUAUGACUAAGUGAAGUUGUAUGAAUGAGUGAUUAUAUUUUGGAUAUGAUGCUUAUCAUGAGAUAUGUAUGCUAUCUUACUUGGAAUGUGAGAAAUGCUUGAAUUAGUGAACUAUAUGUGAUAGUUGAUGUUGAAUGACAUUGUUGAUUAUUGAUAGUCAUGUUUAUGUAUGAUGAAUUGUGGAUGUUGAAUAUGAUAUUUAUCAUGAGAUGUUGUUUUCCCUAUUACUUGGAAUAUGAGAAUGCUUGAAAUGGUGAAACUAUAUGUGAUAGUUGAUGUUGAAUGACAUUGUUGAUUAUUGAUAGUCAUGUUUAUGUAUGAUGAAUUGUGGAUGUUGAAUAUGAUAUUUAUCAUGAGAUGUUGUUUUCCCUAUUACUUGGAAUAUGAGAAUGCUUGAAAUGGUGAAACUAUAUGUGAUAGUUGAUGUUGAAUGACAUUGUUGAUUAUUGAUAGUCAUGUUUAUGUAUGAUGAAUUGUGGAUGUUGAAUAUGAUAUUUAUCAUGAGAUGUUGUUUUCCCUAUUACUUGGAAUAUGAGAAUGCUUGAAAUGGUGAAACUAUAUGUGAUAGUUGAUGUUGAAUGACAUUGUUGAUUAUUGAUAGUCAUGUUUAUGUAUGAUGAAUUGUGGAUGUUGAAUAUGAUAUUUAUCAUGAGAUGUUGUUUUCCCUAUUACUUGGAAUAUGAGAAUGCUUGAAAUGGUGAAACUAUAUGUGAUAGUUGAUGUUGAAUGACAUUGUUGAUUAUUGAUAGUCAUGUUUAUGUAUGAUGAAUUGUGGAUGUUGAAUAUGAUAUUUAUCAUGAGAUGUUGUUUUCCCUAUUACUUGGAAUAUGAGAAUGCUUGAAAUGGUGAAACUAUAUGUGAUAGUUGAUGUUGAAUGACAUUGUUGAUUAUUGAUA
rnacentral:lncRNA from 1 species